AAGACUUACUUUGAGGAAAUUAGAGUGUUUCAAGCAGGCACACGCCUUGAAUACAUUUAGCAUGGAAUAAUAAGAUAAGACCCCGGUUCUAUUGUUGGUUUCUAGAAUUGGGGUAAUGAUUAAUAGGGAUAGUUGGGGGCAUUCGUAUUUAACUGUCAGAGGUGAAAUUCUUGGAUUUGUUAAAGACGGACUACUGCGAA
rnacentral:rRNA from 1 species